CGGGGCGUGGCGCAGCUUGGUAGCGCGCGUGCUUUGGGUGCACGAAGUCGUGGGUUCAAAUCCCGCCGCCCCGA
rnacentral:tRNA from 1 species